CCUACGGGGGGCAGCAGUGGGGGAUAUUGCACAAUGGGGGGAACCCUGAUGCAGCGACGCCGCGUGGGCGAUGGAGUGCUUCGGCAUGUAAAGCCCUAUCAGCAGGGAAGAAAAUGACGGUACCUGACUAAGAAGCCCCGGCUAAAUACGUGCCAGCAGCCGCGGUAAUACGUAUGGGGCAAGCGUUAUCCGGAUUUACUGGGUGUAAAGGGAGCGUAGGCGGCCUGGCAAGCCUGAUGUGAAAUACCGGGGCCCAACCCCGGGGCUGCAUUGGGAACUGCCAGGCUGGAGUGCCGGAGAGGCAGGCGGAAGUCCUAGUGUAGCGGUGAAAUGCGUAGAGAUUAGGAGGAACACCAGUGGCGAAGGCAUCUCACGAAUCCGCGAUUGACGCUGAUGCACGAAAGCGUGGGUAUCAAACAGGAUUAGAUACCCUUGUAGUC
rnacentral:rRNA from 1 species